rnacentral:scRNA from 1 species
AUCGCGAUUGAGUUUGAUACGGAUCGGCUUGG